rnacentral:rRNA from 1 species
GAUGAACGCUGGCGGCGCGCCUAAUACAUGCAAGUCGAACGAAACUUCUUUAUCACCGAGUGCUUGCACUCACCGAUAAAGAGUUGAGUGGCGAACGGGUGAGUAACACGUGGGCAACCUGCCCAAAAGAGGGGGAUAACACUUGGAAACAGGUGCUAAUACCGCAUAACCAUAGUUACCGCAUGGUAACUAUGUAAAAGGUGGCUAUACUACCGCUUUUGGAUGGGCCCGCGGCGCAUUAGCUAGUUGGUAGGGUAAAGGCUUACCAAGGCAAUGAUGCGUAGCCGAAUUGAGAGGUUGAUCGGCCACAUUGGGACUGAGACACGGCCCAAACUCCUACGGGAGGCAGCAGUAGGGAAUCUUCCACAAUGGGCGAAAGCCUGAUGGAGCAACGCCGCGUGGGUGAAGAAGGUCUUCGGAUCGUAAAACCCUGUUGUUAGAGAAGAAAGUGCGUGAGAGUAACUAUUCACGUUUCGACGGUAUCUAACCAGAAAGCCACGGCUAACUACGUG